rnacentral:rRNA from 1 species
UCAGUCGACUCCUACGGGGAGGCAGCAGUGGGGGAAUAUUGCACAAUGGGCGCAAGCCUGAUGUAGCCAUGCCGCGUGUGUGAAGAAGGCCUUCGGGUUGUAAAGCACUUUCAGUCGUGAGGAAGGUAGUGUAGUUAAUAGCUGCAUUAUUUGACGUUAGCGACAGAAGAAGCACCGGCUAACUCCGUGCCAGCAGCCGCGGUAAUACGGAGGGGUGCGAGCGUUAAUCGGAAUUACUGGGCGUAAAGCGCAUGCAGGUGGUUUGUUAAGUCAGAUGUGAAAGACCCGGGGCUCAACCUCGGAAUAGCAUUUGAAACUGGCAGACUAGAGUACUGUAGAGGGGGGGUAGGAAUUUCAGGUGUAGCGGUGAAAUGCGUAGAGAUCUGAAGGAAUACCGGUGGCGAAGGCGGCCCCCCUCGGACAGAUACUGACACUCAGAUGCGAAAGCGUGGGGAGCAAACAGGAUUAGAUACCCCUGGUAG